rnacentral:rRNA from 1 species
GACAGAGGGUGCAAACGUUGUUCGGAAUUACUGGGCGUAAAGCGUGUGUAGGCUGCCUCGCAAGUCGGAUGUGAAAGCCCCGGGCUCAACCUGGGAAGUGCAUUCGAAACUGCGGGGCUGGAGUCCUGGAGAGGAAGGCGGAAUUCUCGGUGUAGAGGUGAAAUUCGUAGAUAUCGAGAGGAACACCGGUGGCGAAGGCGACCUUCUGGACAGUGACUGACGCUGAGACACGAAAGCGUGGGGAGCAAACAGG